UACGAAGGGGGGCUAGCGUUGUUCGGAAUCACUGGGCGUAAAAGCGCACGUAGGCGGAUCUUUUAAGUCAGGGGUGAAAUCCCGAGGCUCAACCUCGGAACUGCCUUUGAUACUGGGGAUCUCGAGUCCGGGAGAGGUGAGUGGAACUGCGAGUGUAGAGGUGAAAAUUCGUAGAUAUUCGCAAGAACACCGGUGGCGAAGGCGGGU
rnacentral:rRNA from 1 species